rnacentral:tRNA from 1 species
CGGAGCGUAGUUCAGCUGGUUAGAACGCUGGGUCGGGGAUCCAGAGGUCGCCGGUUCGAGCCCGGCCGCUCCGACUA